UUGAAGGGAGUGGAAGAUGAGUUAUAUAGGAUACCUGAUCAUUUUAAAGUUAAGAAGCGUAGUUUCAAAGAGAGCUCGACACAGUGGACUACCGGAAUAGCAGAAGUCCAACUCCCAAUCGAAUCUGCCAAGAAGCUUUUGCAAGAGAAGAGGCUUAUAGAUGGGUCGGCCAAAAUCAGAGUUUAGUAUUUUAUUUUCCUGUUUGUGUAGUGGUUUCUUGGAGAGAUAUAUUAUUAUGAAUUUUUCUCUUUUUGAAGAUAAAGCUGGGAUCCUUAUAGUACAGGGCUAGCAUUUAGGAUAUUGGUCACUAAUUACCUUGGUUUAGAUGGCUUAAACCAUCCUCUCUGCAAGGAAAUUCGAGAAGCUGAUCGAUUCUACUGAAGUUACUCCUGCUGAGUUAGUUGAAGAGCUGAUGCAAGACGAUGACACUGACAUUGUUCUUUGUGGAGUAGUUAGUUUUGUUGAG